UGUAAGUUUUAAUAAGGAUGAAAAAUGCAUACAGCUGGCUCAUACUUGCUCAUUUUGCUCUGUUCAGAUCAUCUCCUUUAGAGGAAAAAGAAAUAGGUCCAUUUUUUGGAAGAAAACAACAUGGUCCCUUUCCACUUCACAGAAGGACAGUGAGCUCAUGAGCACUUUGAGUACAGAUAUCAACCUUACUCAUUUUGGCAUGUCUCCCUCCUCUCCCAUACACUGGCAUCGGUGCCUGAUACACACAGUCAGAGGGAAGUACCAUGUGUACACUGAGAGUCGUUCAUGUUAUUCUACUCAAUCAUCAUGACAAACUGAGAGCAUUUGACUUCCUGACCUUCCACAACAGAAAAGUCUAUGGACUGAUUAUACGCUAAGUGUAGAAGUAUUUCCUUUUAUUUGUUUUAAAUUUUCCCACUGUUCAUUUCAUUGAGAGAAUACUUGUUCUCAUAUUAUGAA